GGUAACUUGUGGGGAGCUGCGGCUGGGGCUGCGUCAGGAUUGCCUUCAUGGGGUGGAAGUAAGGAACUCUCCCUUCAAGAAGAGGGGCACAGCUUGGGGUCAAGAAAAGCAUUGCAGGAGGGGGAAACCUGUCUGCCAUUGUUCAUUAUCACUUCCGGUUCUUGGGAGAAGACAACUCCAAGAAGAGAACACAGUUGAGCUGAUGAGAGCCGAGCAGAGCCAUGCCAACUGGGGCCAAGUGGAGCCAAAUGGAGCUGAGCAGAGCCAAGUUGAGCUGAGCCCAGCUGAAAACUGUCAAACACAGCCAAGCCCAGCAGAGCAGGGUGGCCAGUCUGGGAAUAGUUGGAGUGGCGCAGCAUGGAUGAGCCGGCUUGGAAGAUUUGUCUGUCAUUGUUUUUUGUUGGCUCAGGCUCAGGGAAGGAGAACAAUGGCUGUGGAAAGGUCCACCAUCUUUUCUUUGUCUCAGGAAGACUACAUGUCACUGCUGGGCUGCAGAAUUGUUAUGUGUAUUUUGGUAAAUCAUGCUGAUUGAGACUAUAUGUGUAUGUGUAUAUUGAUAAUUCAUACAUUAUGAGUAUUCUGUGAGAUGUGGUAUGGGUAUUAUAUAGGAUAUAGUGUGAUUUCUAAUAAAACAAAUCAUGAUGGGCACACUAGCCAGAGACAAGGGAUUGCUACAGGGAGUGAGGAAACCACAGCUAGCAGCAGAGGAAAGGAAUCCGAAUUAACACACGAAAAAGACUGGCCUGAGACAGGAGAUGGGUGUUCUCUCUGGAAUGAACCAGGAGCCACUCAGCGAUGAUGGCCCAUGAAGAUGUCUGACCUAGAUAAUCUGAGCCAUCAGAAACUUAGAUCUGGAAGACAUAUUCCAGGAACUCAGCAGCGAAAAUACAUCGAUUCCGGGAUGAGCUUUGUUGGACUUUUGCACAGAGAAAAGAAACUACAUGAAUAUGGGAAAACCUGAAAAAAAGACGAGAGUCCUGAAUGGAAGACAAGAGACUCUGCCUCGGGCUAGAAAAACUG